CCGCGCCCGCUACCUGACGGCCAAGGCUUCAGGUCUGUGCGAAUUGAAUCUGGUCGUGCCGCUGGCCUUCGGGCCACCGCCAUGUGCACACACGGAUACCGACGGUCUAAAGCGUCCGAGCAGGUCCGGCACAGUUUCCCCGAUGAGAAAUCGUCGGGGCGACGUAGAUAGCACGACCGGUCG
rnacentral:sRNA from 1 species